rnacentral:rRNA from 1 species
AUAAACGCUGGCGGCGCACAUAAGACAUGCCAGUUGAACGGACUUAAUCGAAAUAUUUAUAUUUUGAAGCGGUUAGUGGCGGACUGGUGAGUAACGCGUAAGGAACCUGCCUAUUAGAGGGGAAUAACAGUGAGAAAUCAUUGCUAAUACCGCAUAUGCCAUAGAUAUCACAUGAUAACAGUGGGAAAGGAGCAAUCCGCUAAUAGAUGGCCUUGCGUCUGAUUAGAUAGUUGGUGGGGUAACGGCCUACCAAGUCGACGAUCAGUAGCCGGACUGAGAGGGUGAACGGCCACAUGGGGACUGAAGUCGGGCCAAGACUCCUACGGGAGGCAGCAGUGGGGAAUAUUGCGAAAGGGAGGAAACUCGGACGAAGUGACGCCGGGUAAAGGAAGAAGGUUUUCGGAUUGUAAACUAUUGUCGUUAGGGAAAAAAAAGGAAAGUACCAAAGGAGGAAGCCCCGGCUAACUACGU